CAGUUCGAAUUGCAGGCUGCAACCCGCCUGCAUGAAGUUGGAAUCGCUAGUAAUCGCGGAUCAGCAUGCCGCGGUGAAUACGUUCCCGGGCCUUGUACACACCGCCCGUCACACCAUGAGAGUCGGGAACACCCGAAGUCCGUAGCCUAACCGCAAGGGGGGCGCGGCCGAAGGUGGGUUCGAUAAUUGGGGUGAAGUCGUAACAAGGUACC
rnacentral:rRNA from 1 species